rnacentral:tRNA from 1 species
CGCCCUGUAGCUCAAAGGAUGAGUGCCCCUUUCGCAAGGGGGAGAUGCGGGUUCGAGUCCCGCCAGGCCUG